rnacentral:misc_RNA from 1 species
GCACCGUGGCGCGCGAAAACUCCUUGGUUCUGCGCUCUGCUAGGACGCCGCGUUCUCUCCCUCCUUCUUUUCGCUCGCUCCUUCCCAAGCAUCACUUGCUCGCAGUUGGUGCGGACGGCGAUGUAUUCCUGGCGCUCCCUGAGCAUAGCCGCGAUGAUCGCUUCGGGGGCCAAUCUCUCGCCAAUUUCGAGUCGUAGGACGCGCCGCGGUACCUCCCACGCCGGACAAAUCUCCAACGUGUGCUGCGCCGUGUCUUCCUCCUCCUCCAGUGGAGUGUGCGGGAGGUGGUGGCGGGGGAGGGGGGGAUCCAUAAUCGGGAACAUUUCCUUUCGUCCCCCUCGUAGAGGUGAUCUCCACCUCUUGUCUUUCACCGUCGUUAUUAAGACCUUCGGCCGAGUUCUUUCGUGAGUUCCUUGGUCAACCGUUCCACCAUCUCUUGGAGACGACUGACCUCUCUCUCCAGAAGGUGCACCCUUCUCCGCAGGUAUGCGUCGUCCUGUUCUUCUUGACAGUGGGUCGAUUCCGCGUUUUUCACGGUCACUUGCUUGUCGACCGGUCGGAUCUCCGUCUCGUCACUUUACGCGUCGUCGCCGUCGCGGAUGGUAGAGGCGGCGGCCUCGGCGUCGGUGUCCGCCUCGCAUCUCGCGCCCCUCUUCUUCCUUUUAUAGGGAGCCGGCAGCAACGCGGAGUCCGAAUGCCCCGCGGACGCAUUCCCCCGUCUCGUGCGGCGUCCCGUGCCACCGCCGCGACCGUUAGCGUCGGAGGCGGUGCCUUCUGGUAAUCCUGCGGUACGACCGCUUGUCGAGCGCGCCCGCAACGGCCGAAGAGGAAGAACACCACGAUAUUUCGUUGUCGGAUCUCAUCUUGAACUUUUUCGAAUUUGUUUUGCAUAUUCUACUCUUAUUAUAACAUGUUAUUAAAACAUGUUAAAACAAAAAUUAAUUGCCACACAAUGAUCAAAACUUGAGUGCAUGCGUGUAGCGACGUUACAAUGCUUCAUAUCUAGAUAUAUCUAAAAUGAAUAAAAUGUCUGGCAGGACUUUUUGAUUAGAUAAAAGACUUGGUAAAUUUUCUUUACAAUCUCCAAAUGAAUCUCCGGGGCAAUUUCUCGCGAGUUCGAAAAAAAACUCGCUGCAGAAAAGAAGUACGAUAAGUUACAGUCGAUGGUAGCGAAGAAGGCUUCCCUUAAUUUAAAUUAAUACGAGAGCCACGCCUUUAUAAAUAUAAAUAACGUUCGUUGCGCAAACGAGUCUACAGAAAGAGCGAGAGGUAACAAAGAAUUUAAUGAAAUUACAGGCCACAACUCUUAUAAACGUGGACGUUAGUCGUUAAUACGAAGGAUAAAUCGCAAUAUAAGAUCAUGGGAUAAAUACUCGCAAACGCUUAUCACGUACUCGAUAUACGAUC